AGUGAACGCUGGCGGUAGGCCUAACACAUGCAAGUCGAACGGCAGCACAGUAAGAGCUUGCUCUUACGGGUGGCGAGUGGCGGACGGGUGAGGAAUACAUCGGAAUCUACUUUUUCGUGGGGGAUAACGUAGGGAAACUUACGCUAAUACCGCAUACGACCUACGGGUGAAAGCAGGGGAUCUUCGGACCUUGCGCGAUUGAAUGAGCCGAUGUCGGAUUAGCUAGUUGGCGGGGUAAAGGCCCACCAAGGCGACGAUCCGUAGCUGGUCUGAGAGGAUGAUCAGCCACACUGGAACUGAGACACGGUCCAGACUCCUACGGGAGGCAGCAGUGGGGAAUAUUGGACAAUGGGCGCAAGCCUGAUCCACCCAUACCGCGUGGGCGAAGAGGGCCUUCGGGUUGUAAAGCCCUUUUGUUGGGAAAGAAAAGCAGCAGGUUAAUACCCCGCUGUUCUGACGGUACCCAAAGAAUAAGCACCGGCUAACUUCGUG
rnacentral:rRNA from 1 species